rnacentral:misc_RNA from 1 species
AUAUGACAAGGCUUGAAUUCACCACCCCRUGUSGAGACGCUCCUUGCGUCCUUAGCUCGGAUUUUGGCCAACCGCGUGCGGUAACACACGGGAGACCAGCUUCCGUCCCAUAUCCUCGAGAGGAUGGGGGGACGACGAUUUGUGACACCCAGGCAGACGUGCCCUCGGCCAGAAGGCUUGGGGCGCAACUUGCGUUCAAAGACUCGAUGGUUCACGGGAUUCUGCAAUUCACACCAAUUAUCGCAUUUCGCACCCUUCUUCAUCGAUGCCAGAGCCCAGAUAUCCGUUGCCAAVAGUCCUUUUAGACUUUAUAUUGGAAC